rnacentral:rRNA from 1 species
GACGAACGCUGGCGGCGUGCCUAAUACAUGCAAGUUGAGCGCUGAAGGUUGGUACUUGUACCAACUGGAUGAGCAGCGAACGGGUGAGUAACGCGUGGGGAAUCUGCCUUUGAGCGGGGGACAACAUUUGGAAACGAAUGCUAAUACCGCAUAAAAACUUUAAACACAAGUUUUAAGUUUGAAAGAUGCAAUUGCAUCACUCAAAGAUGAUCCCGCGUUGUAUUAGCUAGUUGGUGAGGUAAAGGCUCACCAAGGCGAUGAUACAUAGCCGACCUGGGAGGGUGAUCGGCCACAUUGGGACUGAGACACGGCCCAAACUCCUACGGGAGGCAGCAGUAGGGAAUCUUCGGCAAUGGACGAAAGUCUGACCGAGCAACGCCGCGUGAGUGAAGGAGGUUUUCGGAUCGUAAAACUCUGUUGGUAGAGAAGAACGUUGGUGAGAGUGGAAAGCUCAUCAAGUGACGGUAACUACCCAGAAAGGGACGGCUAACUACGUG